UACAGAGACUGCGAGCGUUAUUCGGAUUCACUGGGCGUAAAGGGUGCGCAGGCGGCCAAGUGUGUGAGGCGUGAAAGCCCGGGGCUUAACCCCGGAAUUGCACCUCAAACUACAUGGCUAGAGCAUUGGAGAGGGAAGCGGAAUUCACGGUGUAGCAGUGAAAUGCGUAGAUAUCGUGAGGAACACCAGAGGCGAAGGCGGCUUCCUGGACAAUUGCUGACGCUCAGGCACGAAAGCGUGGGGAGCAAAAGGGAUUAGAUACCCCUGUAGUCCACGCCCUAAACGGUGCACACUAGGUCUUGGCGGAUUCGACCCCACCAGGGCCCAAGCUAACGCGUUAAGUGUGCCGCCUGAGGACUACGGCCGCAAGGCUAAAACUCAAAG
rnacentral:rRNA from 1 species